ACUCCUACGGGAGGCAGCAGUGGGGAAUUUUGGACAAUGGGCGAAAGCCUGAUCCAGCAAUGCCGCGUGAGUGAAGAAGGCCUUCGGGUUGUAAAGCUCUUUUGUCAGGGAAGAAACGGUGAAAGCUAAUAUCUUUUGCUAAUGACGGUACCUGAAGAAUAAGCACCGGCUAACUACGUGCCAGCAGCCGCGGUAAUACGUAGGGUGCAAGCGUUAAUCGGAAUUACUGGGCGUAAAGCGUGCGCAGGCGGUUUUGUAAGUCUGAUGUGAAAUCCCCGGGCUCAACCUGGGAAUUGCAUUGGAGACUGCAAGGCUAGAAUCUGGCAGAGGGGGGUAGAAUUCCACGUGUAGCAGUGAAAUGCGUAGAUAUGUGGAGGAACACCGAUGGCGAAGGCAGCCCCCUGGGUCAAGAUUGACGCUCAUGCACGAAAGCGUGGGGAGCAAACAGGAUUAGAUACCCUUGUAGUCCCA
rnacentral:rRNA from 1 species